UGACUGUGCCCUGAUAUAUUUU
rnacentral:misc_RNA from 1 species